ACUGAACCCAUGGGAGUUCUACCACUGAGCUACAUCCCCAGCCCUAUUUUGUAUUUUAUUUAGAGACAAGGUCUCACUGAAAUGCUUAGGGCCUCACUUUUGCUGAGGCUGGGUUUGAACUCAGAUCCUCCUGCCUCAGCCUCCUAAGCCACUGGGAUUACAGGGGUGUGAUACCACGCCCAGCUAUUUAUCACAGUUCUUGAGGCUAGCACAGAUACAUUCUGUUUCUGUUGAGGGCCCACUUCCUCAUAGAUGGCACCUUCUUGCUGUAUCCACAUAUAGUGGAAUGAUUGAAUUCUAGAUUCUUCAUUUCUUUUUCUGGGGUGGGGCAGUGCUGGGGAUUUAACCCAGGUGCUUUACCACUGAGCCAUAUCCCCAACCCUUUUUAUUUUGAGGCAGGGUCUUGCUGAGUUAUUUAGGGCCUCACUAAAUUGCUGAGGGCGGUCUCAAACUUGCCAUCUUCUUGCCUCAGCAUCCCAAGUCACUGGGAUUACAGUUGAGCACCACUGCCACCAUACCAGGUCCUCUUUUUAUUUUUUGUUUUAAAACAGGGUUAUCACUAAGUUUCCUAGACUGGCCUUGAACUUGCAAUCCUCCUGUAGUUCAUUCCUGAACUUGCAGACUCCUGCAGAGUCUCAGCCUGCAGAGCAGCUGGGAUCAUAGGUAUGUACCACCAUACGUGGCACAAUCAAGGCUUUUUCUAACAUAUACCUCAAAAACUGUUCCAGCCUCAGGGGUGGGGAUGUGGCUCAGUGACAGAGCAUUUGCCUAGCAUGUAUGAGGCACUGAGUUUGAUCCUUAGUACCACAUAACAAAUAAAAUAAAUGCAGUCUGUCCAUUUACAACUACAAAAAAAAAAUUAACUCUUCCAGCCUCUACCCAUCACCCAGUUCCAAAGUUACAGUUCUAUAUAUUACAUUAGCACCCCACUUCCCAGUAUCAAAAUAUAUAUUAGUUUGCUAGGGUUGCCAUAAUAAAAAUGCCACAGACCAGAUGGCUUAAACAACAGAAAUUUACUUAUUUAAUUUUAUUUUUUGGUACUAGAAAUUGAACCCAGGGGCACUUUACCACUGAGCUAUAUCCACAGACCCCCCUUUUUUUCACUAUGUUGCUUGUUACUUAGGGCCUUGCUAAGUUGCUAAGGCUGGCCUUAAAUUUGCCAUUCUCCUACCUCAGUCUCCUGAGUCACCGAGAUUACAUGCCUAGGUUAUUUAUUUUUUAAAAUGAAGUUUUUACAUGAAUACCAACUUUAUUUGAUUUAUUUUAUUUGUUGUGAUGCUGGGGAUCAAACCCAGGGCCUCACAUAUACUAGGCCAGCACUCUACCACUGAGCUACAUCCCCACCCCUAGAAAUUUGAUUUAUUUAUCUAGGUACUGGGGAUUGAACUCAGGGACAUUUUGUCACUGUGUUACAUCCCCAGCCAUUUUUAUUUUUUUUAUUUUGAGACAGGGUAUCACCAUGUUGCUUAGGGCCUAAAUUGCUGAGGCUGGCCUCUAACUUAUGAUCCUCUUGCCUCAGCCUCCCAAGUUGCUGGGAUUAUAGGCAUGUACCAUUGCACCAGAGCAACAAUAUAUUUUAAAUGGAAAAAGAAAAAAGACCACUGCCAUUAUGGUCUCAUUUAACUUUAAUUACCUUCUUAAAGAUUCUAUCUCAAAUAUCUUCCACUUUAGAGGGUGGGGUUUCAACAUAAGAAUUUUCUUUCAGGGAUACACAAUUAAGUUCACAAAUUCAUUAUCACUGACCCCCCCCCCCCGAACUCAUGGGUGCCACAUCCCACACCUCACAGGGUUCCCAAUGCUCACACCACACGCCCCCCUCUCUAUUCAGCCUUUUUGACUCUGAUAAAUCAUUCCACAGACACUCUGCCCAUCAUCCACACCACAUACCCUACAACUGACCCCACAGACCUCCAUCAUUCAUACACUAUCACUCACCCUAUCACUUACCCUAGACACGUCACUCAACCAUAGUCCCCUAUCACUCACCCCACUAAAUCCUACUACUCAUCCCCAAAGUCUCCUAUACUCACCCUGAAAACCACAUAACUUAUCCCAUAAAACCCUAUCACUCACCCUACCAACCCUAUCACUGACAUCACAGAUACACCACUCAUCCUAUAGAUCCCUUAUAACUAACCCUAUAGACUCCCCAUAACUCAUCAUUUUAGGAGGGGUAUCAAGGAUUGAAACCAGGGGAACUUUACCAAUGAGCCACAUCCCACGCCCUGUUUAUUUUCAAAAUAGGGUCUCACUAAGUUGCUUAGGGCCUCACUAGUGUGCUGAGGCUGGCUUGGAAAUUGUGAUCCUCCUGCCUCAGCCUCCUGAGCCACUGGGAUUACAUAUAUGAGCCACUAUCCCUGGCCCUCUAACUCAUCUCACAGAACCCAUGCCUCAUAUCAUAGACCACCCCCAGGUUCCAUCACUGAUCCCACAGACCUCUUAUCACUCACCUUACCUAUCAUUCCAUCUGUCAACUUGCAGUUCUCCACCAUUCAUGGUAUAUAACCCAUUGGUCACCAACAGAUGCCUUAAUCACCCCAAAGACACCUGUUGCUUACUAUACAGACUGCUUUUCACACACUCAGAGUCCCUUCAUUCCACCUGCAAAUCUCCCUAAUGGCAACCUAUCACUCCAUAGAUGCUCCACACUUACCCUGUGGAACUCCUCCUCACUCACCCUGAAGACCCCAUCCCUUAUUCCAUACUCUCUAUCAUUAAGCAAUUGAUUCCUUGAAGGAUUUCAAAGAGAUGGUAAAGAAUGAAUAAUAAAAUGGCAGAUACUUGAAUACUGGUUUUAGGUGACCUGUGUAAAGCCAGACUUCAGUUCAAACUCUGGCUCUCUUCAGGCCUACAGUAUAGACUUGAAGAAAUGUCUAAUUGUUAAUGCCAAAGCCCUGCAUAAUCUGAACUCAUUUACUUUCUCAUCUAAUAUACUAUCACUCUGUUGUUUACUCACUAUAAAGGCAUGCUGAUUUUGCUCUGCCUCAAAUAUACCAGGCAUAGCCCAUCUUUCUGUCCAUUGCACUACUUAUUCUCUGUGCCACUUACUACCUGUUAACCUUGAGCUUGCUUCUCCCUGGCCUUCAAUGUCUUGUAUAUAAAAUACUACUACUAAUAAUAAUGCCUACCUCAUAGGUUUUUUUUUACAAAAUAUUUAUUUUUUAAAUUAUAGGUGGACACGCUAUCUUUAUUUUAUUUUUAUGUGGUGCUGAGGAUUGAACCUAGUGCCUCAGGCAUGCUAGGUGAGCGCUCUACCUCUGAGCCACAACUCCAGUCCCCUCAUAGGGUUUUUAUACAGUUUAAAUGAAUUGAUAUAUGUAGACGGUUUAGCAUAUACUUUAUAGUUUUUGAAUGGAAGAAUGAAUACACAAAUGAAAGAGAAAGUUCUCCCCAGGACUAUGACAAGGGUCUCCUUUUUGAUCUUCUUGCUUCCAGUAUCUUCCUGUCCAAAGUUUUCUGCAAUACCAAAACAGGAGCAUCUGACCAUACCUCUGUCUAAAACCUAUGCUCCAUGCCUUCAGGAUAAACUCCCAGCUCCAGGCUAAGGGUUUCCUCAUCCCACCCUGUGAUAACUGAAAUGAGAGGUAGGCUGUCCAACUUGUUUCCAUUAGAAAACCCAGCAGGGGCUGAAGAUGUAGCUCAGUGGUAAGUGCUAGCCUAGCAUGUACCAGUCCCUGGGUUCAAUGUCCAGCACAAAAAAAAAAGGGAAGAAAAGAAGCAGGGUGUGGUGGUAGCAGAUACCUGUAAUCUCAGCCACUCAGCAGGCUGAGGCAGGAGGAUCACAAGUUGAAAGCCAGCCCCAGCAAUUUAGUGAGGCUCUAGGCAAUUUAGUGAGACCCUGUCUCUAAAUAAAAUAUUUUAAAAAGGGCUAGAAAUGUGGCUCAGUGGCUAAGCAUCCCUGGGUUCAAUCCUUGGUAAUCUCCCCCCAAAAAAAGAAGAAAAGAAACUCCAGUGUCAUAGGAGAGUUUUUUGUUUUUAUUGUUGUUGUUUGGUUGGUUGGUUUUGAUACUGGGAAUUAAACCCAGAGGCACUUUACUACUGAGCUACAUCCCAACCCUUUUUAUUUUUCAUUUUGAGACAAGGUUCACUAAGUUGCUUAUAGCCUGGCUAUAUUGCUGAGGUUGGCUUCCCUAGUUGCUGGAAUUACAGGCAUGGGCCACUAUGCUCAGCUACCAUAGGUGUUUUUGACUCCAUGAUGUGGGACAAGAGAGACCCAUAAGUCAUCUUCUGGCUUUCAAGUAAAAGUCCCCAUUAUUUAUAGCUUCCAAAGAUAUCUAUUUAAUGUGUAUAUUUAUUUUAUUUUUAAAAACUUUUUUUUGUAUUUGGAAAUGGACAGAAUGCCUUUAUUUUAUUUGUUUAUUUUUAUGUGGUGCCUCACACAUGCUAGGCAAGUGCUCUGCCACUGAGCCAUAGCCCCAGCCCUUAUUUAAUGUACAUUUAAAAAUAUACCAAAAUAAAAUUGCAGACUUGUCUAAAAUGGCAGUGGCACACACCUAUAAUCCCAGCUACUCAGAAGGCUGGAGCAGGAGGAUGGCAUAUUCAAGGCCACCCUGGGUAAUUUAGUGAGACCCUGUUUCAAAAUGUUAAAAAUUUAAAAAUGUUGGCUGGGGCUGUAGCUCAGUGGUGGAGCGCUUGCCUCACAUACGUGAGGCGCCAGGUUCGAUCCUCAGCACCAUAUAAAAGUAAAAAUGUUAGCUAGACAUGGUGGCUCACAACUAUAGUCCUUGUGACUUAGGAGGCUGAGAUAGGAGGAUCCCAAGUUCAAAGCCUGCCUCAGCAACUGAUUGAGGCCCUAAGCCUGUAGUGAGACCUUGUAUCAAAAUUAAAAAAAAAAUAAAUAAAAAGAGGGCUGGAGAUGUGGCUCAGUGAUUAAGCACUCCUGGGUUCAAUCCCCAGUACUCUCUCAAAAAAGUUAGACUAAUAAAUAAAUAAAUAGAUAGAUAGAUAGAUAGAUAAAUAAAAGUUAGCUUAUCUAUACCAACAUUGCAUUAGGUAAAGUCCAGCCAUCUAACAAAACCCCUUGGCUAGAACUAACAUUUGUUAGGGCAAGCCUAUAUUUUGUCCAAACCACAUGGAUGCUAUGUUGUAGAAUAAAGUAGGAAGAAUACCUUUUUGCAUUUUGCCACACAUAAGUUUUCUCAAAAAAUAUCCAAAAUAUAUUCAAUCAUUUAGUUGAUGUUUAUUGGACACUUCUUAAUUUACGAUGCUGGGGACCAAACCUGGGGCCUCAUGCAUACUAGGAAAAUGCUGUAGUACUGAGUGAUACUUCUAACCUGACACACUGUUUAAUAUCAGGACUUACUUCAACAUAUUGUGAGGAUUAAAUUAAACAAAGGCAGGGCUGGGGAUAUGGCUCAAGAGGUAAUGUGCUCGCCUGGCAUGAACGGGGCACUGGGUUCAAUCCUCAGCAUCACAUAAAAACAAAAUAAAGAUGUUAUGUCCACUGAAAACUGAAAAAUAAAUAUUAAAAAAUUCUCUCUCUCUCUCUCUUUCUCUUCUCUCCCUCUCUCUCUCUAAAAAAAAAAAAAAAAUUAAAGGCAGACUUGAAAAACCUAGGACCAGUCUUAAAGGUUUAAGAAAUAAAAACCUGUUGUAAUAUAAGAAAUAAUAAGAUGGGC
rnacentral:lncRNA from 1 species